rnacentral:rRNA from 1 species
UGCCAGCCGCCGCGGUAAUACGUAGGGGGCAAGCGUUACUCGGAAUUACUGGGCGUAAAGGGUGAGUAGGCGGCUGGGCAAGUCAAGGAUGAAAUCCCGAGGCUCAACUUCGGAACUGUCCUUGAAACUGCUCAGCUUGAGGGUAGUUGAGGAGAGUGGAAUUCCCGGUGGAGCGGUGAAAUGCGUAGAUAUCGGGAGGAACACCUGAGGCGAAGGCGGCUCUCUAAGCUACUCCUGACGCUGAAUCACGAAAGCUAGGGGAGCAAACGGGAUUAGAUA